rnacentral:tRNA from 1 species
GGGUGUAGCUCAGUGGUAGAGUGCAUACCUAGCAUGCACAAGGGUCUGGGUUCAAUCCCCAGCACCUCCA